AGUGAACGCUGGCGGUAGGCCUAACACAUGCAAGUCGAACGGCAGCACAGUAAGAGCUUGCUCUUACGGGUGGCGAGUGGCGGACGGGUGAGGAAUACAUCGGAAUCUACUUUUUCGUGGGGGAUAACGUAGGGAAACUUACGCUAAUACCGCAUACGACCUACGGGUGAAAGCAGGGGAUCUUCGGACCUUGCGCGAUUGAAUGAGCCGAUGUCGGAUUAGCUAGUUGGCGGGGUAAAGGCCCACCAAGGCGACGAUCCGUAGCUGGUCUGAGAGGAUGAUCAGCCACACUGGAACUGAGACACGGUCCAGACUCCCAAGGGAGGCAGCAGUGGGGAAUAUUGGACAAUGGGCGCAAGCCUGAUCCAGCCAUACCGCGUGGGUGAAGAAGGCCUUCGGGUUGUAAAGCCCUUUUGUUGGGAAAGAAAAGCAGCAGGUUAAUACCCCGCUGUUCUGACGGUACCCAAAGAAUAAGCACCGGCUAACUUCGUG
rnacentral:rRNA from 1 species